GACGAGAGUUGUCGCUGGCCUUUCGCGAGGCAUGUGCACGCUUUCUUCUGGACUUUCGCCGUAUGGGCGCGGGGCGACCCGCGUCUUCAUGCACCUCUUCGUGUAGAAAGUCUUCGAAUGUUAUACUAUCAUCGAGUCGCGACUUCUAGGAGACGCGGUUCUUUGAGACAAAAGUUAUUACAACUUUCAGCAACGGAUCUCUUGGCUCUCGCAUCGAUGAAGAACGCAGCGAAUCGCGAUAUGUAAUGUGAAUUGCAGAUCUACAGUGAAUCAUCGAAUCUUUGAACGCACCUUGCGCUCCUCGGUGUUCCGAGGAGCAUGCCUGUUCGAGUGUCAGUAAAUUCUCAACCCCUCUCGAUUCGUUUCGAGCGGGCGUUUGGAUAGUGGGGGCUGCCGGAGACCUGGAUUUAUUUCGGGACUCGGGCUCUCCUGAAAUGCAUCGGCUUGCGGUCGACUUUCGACUUUGCACGACAAGGCCUUCGGCGUGAUAAUGAUCGUCGUUGGCUGAAGUGCAUGAAUGAACCGUCCUGCGCCUCUAAUACGUCGACGCUUUCCAGCGUCUUCCUUAUUGACGUUUGACCUCGAAUCAGGUAGGACUACCCGCUGAACUUAAGCAUAUCAAUAAGCGGAGGAAAAGAAACUAACAAGGAUUCCCCUAGUAACUGCGAGUGAACCGGGAAGAGCUCAAAUUUUGAAUCUGGCGGUCUUUUCGGCCGUCCGAGUUGUAAUCUAGAGAAGCGUCUUCCGCGCA
rnacentral:rRNA from 1 species